GAUGAACGCUGGCGGCGUGCUUAACACAUGCAAGUCGAACGAAGCACUUUGAAAGCUUGCUUUCGAAGUGACUGAGUGGCGGACGGGUGAGUAACGCGUGGAUAACCUGCCUCACACAGGGGGAUAACAGUUAGAAAUGACUGCUAAUACCGCAUAAGCCCACGGUACCGCAUGGUACAGAGGGAAAAGAUUUUAUCGGUGUGAGAUGGAUCCGCGUCUGAUUAGCUAGUUGGUGGGGUAACGGCCCACCAAGGCGACGAUCAGUAUCCGGCCUGAGAGGGCGGACGGACACACUGGGACUGAGACACGGCCCAGACUCCUACGGGAGGCAGCAGUGGGGAAUUGUUCACAAUGGGCGCAAGCCUGAUGACGCAACGCCGCGUGGAGGAUGAAGGUCUUCGGAUUGUAAACUCCUGUUGCUCGGGACGAAAAGCUCUGACCUAACACGUCAGAGUCUGACGGUACCGGGUGAGGAAGCCCCGGCUAACUCUGUGCCAGCAGCCGCCGUAAGAC
rnacentral:rRNA from 1 species